AGGCUUAACACAUGCAAGUCGCGGGGUAACAUCUGGGAGAGCUUGCUCUUCCGAGGAUGACCGACCGGCGCGACGGGUGAGUAACGCGUAUCCAACCUGGCCCAUACCACGGGAUAGCCCGUCGAAAGGCGGAUUAAUACCGUAUGCUGUCAUCAAGAUGCAUAUAUUGAUGACGAAAGGACUGGCGGUAUGGGAUGGGGAUGCGUCUGAUUAGCUUGUGGCGGGUAACGGCCCACCAAGGCGACGAUCAGUAGGGGUUCUGAGAGGAAGGUCCCCCACAUUGGAACUGAGACACGGUCCAAACUCCUACGGGAGGCAGCAGUGAGGAAUAUUGGUCAAUGGGCGAGAGCCUGAACCAGCCAAGUAGCGUGCAGGAUGACGGCCCUAUGGGUUGUAAACUGCUUUUAUAAGGGAAUAAAGUGAGUCUCGUGAGACUUUUUGCAUGUACCUUAUGAAUAAGGACCGGCUAAUUCCGUG
rnacentral:rRNA from 1 species